CACGAAGGCCCCAAGCGUUGUCCGGAUUUAUUGGGCGUAAAGAGCUCGUAGGCGGUUCAGUAAGUCGGGUGUGAAAACUCUGGGAUCAACCCAGAGACGCCACCCGAUACUGCUGUGACUUGAGUCCGGUAGGGGAGUGUGGAAUUCCUGGUGUAGCGGUGAAAUGCGCAGAUAUCAGGAGGAACACCGGUGGCGAAGGCGCCACUCUGGGCCGGUACUGACGCUGAGGAGCGAAAGCGUGGGUAGCAAACAGG
rnacentral:rRNA from 1 species